rnacentral:rRNA from 1 species
GGGCUUCACACGUCAUACAAUGGUCGGAACAGAGGGUUGCCAACCCGCGAGGGGGAGCUAAUCCCAGAAAACCGAUCGUAGUCCGGAUUGCACUCUGCAACUCGAGUGCAUGAAGCUGGAAUCGCUAGUAAUCGCGGAUCAGCAUGCCGCGGUGAAUA